rnacentral:tRNA from 1 species
GCGCGCUUAGCUCAGUUGGUUAGAGCGUGUCUUUGACGUAGACAAGGCCGGGGGUUCAAAUCCCUCAGCGCGCA